rnacentral:rRNA from 1 species
AACGAACGCUGGCGGCAGGCUUAACACAUGCAAGCCGAGCGCCCCGCAAGGGGAGCGGCAGACGGGUGAGUAACGCGUGGGAAUCUACCCAUCUCUACGGAAUAACGCAUGGAAACGUGUGCUAAUACCGUAUACGUCCUUCGGGAGAAAGAUUUAUCGGAGAUGGAUGAGCCCGCGUUGGAUUAGCUAGUUGGUGGGGUAAAGGCCUACCAAGGCGACGAUCCAUAGCUGGUCUGAGAGGAUGAUCAGCCACACUGGGACUGAGACACGGCCCAGACUCCUACGGGAGGCAGCAGUGGGGAAUAUUGGACAAUGGGCGCAAGCCUGAUCCAGCCACGCCGCGUGAGUGAUGAAGGCCCUAGGGUUGUAAAGCUCUUUCACCGGUGAAGAUAAUGACGGUAACCGGAGAAGAAGCCCCGGCUAACUUCGUGCCAGCCGCCGCCGUAAAAC